AACGCGAAGAACCUUACCUACCCUUGACAUGCUCGGAAUUUGCCAGAGAUGGUGAAGUGCCUUCGGGAACCGAGACACAGGUGCUGCAUGGCUGUCGUCAGCUCGUGUCGUGAGAUGUUGGGUUAAGUCCCGUAACGAGCGCAACCCUUGUCCUUAGUUGCCAACAGGUAGUGCUGGGAACUCUAAGGAGACUGCCGGUGAUAAGCCGGAGGAAGGUGGGGAUGACGUCAAGUCCUCAUGGCCCUUACGGGUAGGGCUACACACGUGUUACAAUGGACAGUACAGAGGGAAGCGAAGCCGCGAGGUGGAGCGAAUCUUUUAAAAGCUGUUCGUAGUCCGGAUUGGAGUCUGCAACUCGACUCCAUGAAGUUGGAAUCGCUAGUAAUCGCGGAUCAGAACGCCGCGGUGAAUACGUUCCCGGGCCUUGUACACACCGCUACAGU
rnacentral:rRNA from 1 species